rnacentral:rRNA from 1 species
GACGAACGCUGGCGGCGUGCUUAACACAUGCAAGUCGAACGGUAAGGCCCUUCGGGGUACACGAGUGGCGAACGGGUGAGUAACACGUGGGUGAUCUGCCCUGCACUUCGGGAUGAGCCUGGGAAACUGGGUCUAAUACCGGAUAGGACCAUUGCCUGCAUGGGUGGUGGUGGAAAGCUUUUGCGGUGUGGGAUGGGCCCGCGGCCUAUCAGCUUGUUGGUGGGGUGAUGGCCUACCAAGGCGACGACGGGGAGCCGGCCUGUGAGGGUGACCGGCCACAAUGGGACUGAGAUACGGCCCAGACUCCUACGGGAGGCAGCAGUGGGGAAUAUUGCGCAAUGGGCGCAAGCCUGAUGCAGCGACGCCGCGUGAGGGAUGACGGCCUUCGGGUUGUAAACCUCUUUCAGCACCGACGAAGCGCAAGUGACGGUAGGUGCAGAAGAAGGACCGGCCAACUACGUGCCAGCCGCCGCCGUAA